UCCCAGGUGGCUCAGACAGUAAAGAAUCUGCCUGCAAGGCAGGAGACCCAGGUUCGAACCCUGGGUGGGGAA
rnacentral:tRNA from 1 species